rnacentral:lncRNA from 1 species
AGGGUGGAUUACCAAGAAGUUCCAGGCAUGCAGAGACAUGCCUCACCUGAGGACAUUAAAAAGGCAUAUUGGAAACUGGCCCUGAAUUGGCACCCAGAAAAAAAAAAUACCCUGAGAGGAAAGAAGCAGAGAGAAAAUUCAAACAAGUGACUGAGCCAUAUGAGGUGCUACCAGAUGCUUUUUUUAAAAAAAAAGACAUCCACAGCAAAAAAAAAAAAGUGACAAUUACAGCCAAGAAGUAUUAAAUGAGGGAGGUAGGAGAUAGAAGUCAUUUUGUCAGUCCGUGUGAGCUUGGCUUCACAUUCCAUAACCCAGGUGAUGUCUUCAGGGAACUAUUUGGUGGAAGGGACCCAUUUUCAUUCAACUCCUUUGAAGAUUCAUUUGAGGACUUUUUUGGGAAUUGGAGGGGAUCCCCGAGGAAGCAGAGGCCGAGGGAUGUGGUCAUUUUUCUCUGCCUUCACUGGAUUUCCAUCUUUUGGAAGUGGAUUUUCUUCUUUUGAUACAGGAUUUAUUUCAAUCAGGUCACUAGGUCACAGGGGCCUCACUUCAUUCUCUUCCAUGUCAUUUGGUGGUAGUGGGAUGGGCAACUUCAAAUUGAUAUCAACUUCUACUAAAAUGGUUAACAGCAGAAAAACCACAACAAAGAGAAUUGUCAAGAAAGAGUAGAAGUUGAAGAUGACAGCCAGUUAAAUGAUGGCCAGUUAAAUAAAGUCUUUAACAAUACAUGGUGAGGGGCAGGCAGCAGCUGAGCUUGGAUAACAAGCAA